rnacentral:tRNA from 1 species
UUAAAAGAAGUUUUGUAAAACAUUAACUUUGGGAGUUAAAAAUUGAAGAAAGCUCUUCACUUUUAAA